GACGAACGCUGGCGGCGUGCCUAAUACAUGCAAGUAGAACGCUGAAGGAGGAGCUUGCUUCUCCGGAUGAGUUGCGAACGGGUGAGUAACGCGUAGGUAACCUGCCUGGUAGCGGGGGAUAACUAUUGGAAACGAUAGCUAAUACCGCAUAACAGUAGAUGUUGCAUGACAUUUGCUUAAAAGGUGCAAUUGCAUCACUACCAGAUGGACCUGCGUUGUAUUAGCUAGUUGGUGAGGUAACGGCUCACCAAGGCGACGAUACAUAGCCGACCUGAGAGGGUGAUCGGCCACACUGGGACUGAGACACGGCCCAGACUCCUACGGGAGGCAGCAGUAGGGAAUCUUCGGCAAUGGACGGAAGUCUGACCGAGCAACGCCGCGUGAGUGAAGAAGGUUUUCGGAUCGUAAAGCUCUGUUGUAAGAGAAGAACGAGUAUGAGAGUGGAAAGUUCACACUGUGACGGUAUCUUACCAGAAAGGGACGGCUAACUACGUG
rnacentral:rRNA from 1 species